CCUACCUAUCAUUUGAUCUCUCUCUCUCUCUUAGUCACACUCCCAUCGAUUAUUUUCUCUUAUAGGGAUUCAACAAUCUUAAUGAUACCAAAAGGUGAGGACCCUGUAUGAGUCAUGAUUAGUCACAUAAGGAUUGGUAUAUUCUGAAAGAAAUUCAAAGAAACAAUGAACACAUCCAGAUCUUAAGUGAGCAGAGGACUGAAAAUUACAUUUAGGAGUGUGUUGGAUAAAAUUCAGUUGGGUCUUCAAUAUCAGGGGUCAGAUUAGGAGUCUAUUUGUUUCACAAAUUUUUGGUACACACAUGGUACUUGUUGCUUUCUGAAAAAGAUUUAUAAGGCUAUCUACUCACUUUAUUUAAUUUGAUAGAUUUCAUACUUCGACGAGGUGAUUGUGACACUAUUGUAGAAUAUCCGAUUUUGGCUUAUGUGCAGAUUCAACACUAAAAGGGAUGAGGUAAAGAGAUGGCAGAAUACAGAUUAUAAAAGGAUCUUUCUAAUUAUUGAGAAACGCAAGAAAGUGGCCAUGAAAUAUUUCUCAGCAAUGGCUGGAGAGAUGGUAAGUUUUCAAUCGCAUAUAAAAGGAACGGAAACACUUGUAGUUGACUUGGUGAAGAAAGUGUGCACUUGUAGGGCUUUCCAAUUAUCAGGCAUACCGUGUCCCCAUGCUUUAACUUCUAUAUUGGCACCAAGAUUGAAGGUAUAUGAUUUUGUUGAUGACUGAUAUAAAGAAGAAGCUUACAUGGUUGCAUAUACUGGUAUAAUAAAGCCCAUGCCUAGUCCAGAUAAGUGGACUCAAACUGGGCUCAACCCCAUGCUCCCACCUCUAAAGAAAGUCCUACCUAGAAGACCAAAGAGAGAGUAACCGAAGUAAUGAUGAACCUCCACCAGGUGCUAAAAAAAUGUCAAGGCCCAAAGUUACUAAGAAGAGAAGUAGACCAAUUAAGGCUAACCCACUUCCUGCGAGAGUGAAGAAAAAUGCAAGGAGAAGGAAAAAAAAAAAGCGAAGGAACAUGCCUCUGGAUCUCAACAAGAACAGUGAUGAUUUUUUUUGAAACCUAUAGUUGUACAGAUCAUUAGAUACUCUGUGGAGCAGCCUCUUUUGAUUAAAUAUUUAGAUUGGUUUAGUGCCUUGAUUUUAAACAUAUAAUCAUGAAAGAAACAUGUGAACAAAACAUAUAACAAUGUCAAUAUAUAAUUUAUGAUUUUUAUUGAUAGUAAAUAAGAUUAUAUUGAAAUU